CCUCUCCCCUCCACCCUCGUCAGCCCUCCACCCUGGGCAGAUGGGAAGGGCUGGAUGCUCGCC
rnacentral:miRNA from 1 species